GAAGAAACAGGAAGGGGCUCUCUUUUCUUCUCUGCUCCUGCUCCAGCAGCACGAUGUGAUCCACCAGCAAGGAGGGACGCCAAUAAGGCAUCUGAUCAGAUAAGUCUUAUAAAAUAUAUAAAUGUAUGAUAGUUAAGACUGAGCUAACAGAUGAGAAUCCUAGUCAUUGGCCAAGCAGCUUUGAACCUAAUACAAGUUUCUGUGUAUUCAUUUGGGCCCUAAGUCGGGCGGGCAGCUUGCAUAAAGCUCACACGUGGCGGUGGGGCUAAGGUGGCUUUUGGCAGAAAGAUUUAUCAUAACAGAGGAUACUAAGCCCCCUUUCCCCAUUGUUGUCACUAAGGAUAAUGUACAUCUAGUUAAGGCUACUUUUCUAUUGUUUAGGGUUGGGAUUGGAAGUAGGUGUUCAGGUUUGGUCACUUCUUUCAGAUGACUUUAGGGUUUAGUUAAAAUAGACAUAGUUAGGAUGUGUCAUAGCAGAUUAUUGUAUCUUCUUGUAUUUCACCCUUAUGAUUGUUAAUUAUGGAUACUUUACACAUUUAAGUUUUAAUCCUCUUUUAGACAAAAGGGGGAUUGUAGGGGACACCCUAACCACGCCUCCUUGGGGCUGGCUACAGGUGUACCUGGCCACGCCCCUAGGGCAUGGUCAGGGUGACAUGUGAGGGAGUUUUAAGAGUGAGAGGCAUGUGGGACCCCCUUCUUCCCUUCAUCUGCUUGCUCUACUUACCUCAUUCCUGCUGGCUGGCUAGGUUGCUCUGAGUAAGGAAGGCACUCCCUAAUAAAAUCCUAAUAUCUUUACCUGACUCCAUAUUGGUAAUUCACCCUUUACCUAGACCUGGAGAAGAAGAGACAGGCAGGUCUUUGGGACUUGCUGGCUAGCAAGUUUAGCUUGCUAGGUAAGCUCCAGAGUAAACAGAGACCUCGACUCAAAAAAAAAAAUGAAGAAAGGAAGGAAGAAAGAGAGAGAGAGAGAGAGAGAGAGAAAGAGAGAGACAGAGACAGAGACAGAGACAGAGAGAGAGAGGAGGGAAAUGAAAGGAAGGAAAGGUCCACUUGUACCAAAGGAAUGAUGAUACUCAAGAUUUUCCUUUGAUCUCCAUGGAUGAAUGCACACUUGUGGUGAACACAUACCCACACGCAUGAGUACACACACACACACACACACACACACACACACACACACACACACAAAUAAAAUUUGUGAACUAAGCUUUAUCUUAUUUUUAAAUACAUUAAUACAUUUAUUGGUAUUUUCAACUGUAAAGUGAAUACAUGUAUAGCAGAGUACAAUUAAAAAUAAAUUACUUUUAUUUUUCCUUCUGAGGAUAAAAGAACCAGAAGCUAUUCCGAUUAUUUUUUGAAGAAAUGUUUGGGGCAGAAGUUUUGCUCCCUUUCAAAUUAUGGAAACCUAUCAUGUUGUCUACUGGGACUCACUGUUAGGAGGAAGGAGCCUCCUAAGCGUGUACCUUUGUGGAAGUGGUCUGGAUUCUCCAAGAGCUGUGGGGAUGCCCUAGGCUGGAGAGGAAGGGUGUAUAUCAUCUGCGGGCAGAUGCUGAGAUAGGAAUGAAUUCUGACAAGACACAGCUGGGUGGGUUGUCCUUGACUUUGGAUGGGGCUGAGCAAAUUGAACUUGUUGGUCUCUGGUCCUGGAAACUCAAGGACAUUGUGACCUCAAGCUCAGCACUCAGUAAAUAGCCUGUGUGUGGACACUGGAUCAGUAGCAGCCUACAUUAAUUUCCUUAGCUCAGUGGCAAUAAUCAGUAAACAUUCUGGGAAGGUCAUGCUAGAAGAAUUCUUUGGGCUUUGUGGGGUGGGCCACAUGGUCUUUGUCAAAUGACUCAGCUUUGCUACUGUGGGAUGCUAAUACACAACAGAAUGGAUGUGACUGCUCCUAAAUACUGUUUAAAAAUAAUUAACUCUUUGGAUGACUUGUUGACAGUUGGCUUAGGUAUUCACAGGAGCAGAGUUACUAUGUUAACAAGUAUACACACAUUUCUAGACUUUUUUAUAUGCUAUCAAGUUACUCUCCAGAGUCUUAUUGUCCUUGCAUGUGAAUUACCUGUUUCAGUCCAUGGUCCUAAAUAUUAUGUGUUUCUAUUAAAAAACAAAAACAAUACAAGGAGGGAUAUUUGAAGCAUAAUUUUCCAUAUGGAAAAUAUGAAAACAAUGUUAUUUGUUUCUCAGCGAAGUCCUAAAAGUAAGAAAUUGGCAAAAUUAUCUUUAGUACCUAGAACUUUUAAAUUCAAAUUAUAUUAAUAUCAUUGGGUGGAUAUUCUCUGAAACUACAUGUCUUCCACUGUUUGUGAAUGAGGUGUGUGUGUAUGUGUUUGGUAUGUAUAAAUAUGUGAGUGUCUGUUUGUGUGAGUGAUAUAUGUGUAUGUAAGUGAGGUGUGUGUGUGUGUGUGUGUGUGUGUGUGUGUGUGUGUGUGUGUGUGUAUGGUGAGGUAUGGGUGUGUAUAUGAGUGAGGUAUUUGUAUGUGAGUGAGGUGUGUAUAUGAAUAUAAGUGAGGUGUAUGUGUGUGUGAGAGAGAGAGUGAGGUGUGUGUGGCGCAUCUGAGUGAGGUGUGUGUAUUUAUGUGAGUGAGGUGUAUGUAUGUGAGUGAAGUAUGUGUGUAUGUGAGUGAGGUGCGUGUGUGUGUGUGUGUGUGUGUGUGUGUGUGUGUGUGUGUGUGUGUGAGUGAGGUGUGUGUGUGAGAGAGUGAGGUGUGUGUUUGUGAGUGAGGUUAGUGUGUGUGUAUGUGUGUCCCAAUAAUAGAGGGGCUGCUCACAAAAUUAUGUUGAUAAUAACAUCUGACUUCAAGCUCCAAAGCUACAGAGAAAUACUGUCUCAAAAGCUUCCCCUCCCAGGAGAAGGGGAAAGGGACAAGAUCUGAGGAAAUUGGGAGCAUGGGGAAGGGUGGAGGGAGUUUGGAGAAUGAGGAGGGGAGGAAAGGAGGGAAGAGGAGUACAUGAGGGACCAGAAAGAUUGAGUCCUGGGGAUGAAAAGAGGAGAGCAAGAAUAGAAAUACUUUAAUAGAGGGAGCCAUUAUAAAUUUAAAGAGAAAUCUGACACUAGGGAAAUGUACAGAGACCCACAAGGAUGAACCCAACUAAAAAUCUAAACAAGAGUGGACAGACUGUCUUAAAUGCCCUUCCCUUAUAAUGAGAUUGAUGACUACCUUAAAUGUCAUCCUAGAACCUUCAUCCAGUAGCAUAUGGAAGCAGAAGCAGACAUCCACAGCUAAACACUGAGCCAAACUCCUGGAAUCCAGUUGUAGAGAGGAAGGAAUGAUGAGCAAAGGGGUCAAGACCAUGCUGGGGAAACUCCACAGAAACAGCUGACCUGACCAAAUCCCACUUCCUGAUUCAGAUGAGCUCAACAGACCCUGCAUGUAGACACAUGCAGAGAAAUCAUCCAAUAUGUCUGCAAAACACAUCAGUGCUUGGCCGUCAACACUGAGGCAUUAGUUUGCAUAUCACCUUCUGGAACUAUGAAAGCCAGCAGGAAGGAAGUUCGGGGGAAUCGAACAGGGUCUGGUGCUUACAAGAAUGCAAGAUCUGGUUAAGAAAAAAGGAAAAUAAACACUGUCAACGAAAUUCAGUGGGCAGAAGAAAGGUCAGAACUUUGGUAAUCCAAAGCCGGAGCCUAUGUCUGUGACUGAGUAAAUACAGUGAUUCCUAACAAGGUGGAUUGUGUCAGGACAACUGGCAGAAUGUCCAAGCUUCUGUAUUCUGUUGUCACAGGUACAUCCUUCACACUGCCCUCCGUGCUCAUUCUGGCUUACUGAAGUUGGAAGAAGAACAAAGGAAAUUAUGCAGGCACUGUGGGUGAUAAUUAACAUAAGAAGGAUGCACAUUCUAAGAAGAGAAUUUGGUUUACAAACUCACAUAAAGAUGCAAAAUUCUUUCUAUGUGUCUUCCAAAAAUGACCAAAAGAAAAAAGUUAAAGAGAAAAUGAACAAACAAGCAAAAAACAAAACAAACAAACAUAAAACAGGAAAUAUGGAGUCUAUCUUAAGCAAAAAUAGAAAUGGUUGCCAAUGGUUACCAUGAGCUUGGAUAUAUUUCUUUGUCAUAUGGUAAGGUUGGGUUGAGGGAGUGAUACCAAAGCUCACUUGAUGUGGAAAUGGGUACAGAGUUUCAUGGAGUUCCACAAGCCUGAAAGGAGUGUUCAGCAACACAUCAGUUAAAAAAGGAGACUCUAAGGUUGCUAGCAGCUCUAGAAAAAAGGUGAGGUGAUGUACAUGGAAACCACUGGUCCAGAGACCUGGUCUCUUUAAUAGCAUUUGUGACUUUUUGUAGUUUAAGCCGCCAAAUUCAUUCUCUCCACCUACUCUGACCAUUUAAUGUCUGGCAAAGAGGAAAGUAAAGAGUGAAGAUGGCAUUCACUGGUUCAUAAAUCAAAAGGCUGACAUGUGGAGUCUGUAUGAGACAAACUAAUCUUCCAAAUUCUCAAAACAGAAGGAAUGGGCAUAUGCUCCAAGGAGUGGAAAUGUUAAAUUUGGUGAAUGUGUUUUGGAAAACAAUACCCAAAUCAAGAUGAAUACUUCUUCAAAGAACUUCAGAGAACUUUUCCUGGAACUUUUGCUUCUUCAUCUUUCACUGUAUGAAGCAACACUCAGCAAGUACUUUGUCACAUUUUUAAGAAAAUUAGUUAAGACUGGAUCACAGACUUGAUGCAAAAACAUUAACUAACAGAGUAAUACAAGAACAAUAAAAAAUGCAUAUUACAGAGGGGUAGUGGAGAGGAAUAUUUUCCACUUACCCCAGACAUUUAGGGCAUUAGUCAUCUUGAUUACACUUGCAUGGAAAUAUUGAGCACAAAGACAAUGAGGAGUUCUAGUAAAAAUUACAUGAUAAUAGAAGGUGAGAAGGGUUCGAUAAAUGACAAAAAUAUCCUAAGUGAAAGCCCUACGGAAAGUUCUUAACACAGAUAGGUGAAUUCCAAAAGAAGGUAACACUUGUCUUCUACAGAAGAUCAUUUCCAGAAAUGACACAGAGAUCAUGAGUGUGGUGACUUUCAACUUUUCCCUCUCUAUCUCAUUCUUAUCUGAGAGUCCUGAGAUGUGUAGGAGACUGGGCUCUUGGGUAUUGUAUAAAAUUGAAAUAAAAUCCUUUAACUUUUAGCUAAGGAAAUAA
rnacentral:lncRNA from 1 species